rnacentral:ncRNA from 2 species
UACUUAUCAAGAGUGGUGGAGGGACUGGCCCUAUGAAACCCAGCAACCAUAUAUUAUUUUCAUUUAAUAAUAUAAAGGUGCUAAUUCCUGCAGUAAUAGUACUGAGAGAUAGGGU